UACGGGGGGGGGCAAGCGUUGUUCGGAAUUACUGGGCGUAAAGGGCUCGUAGGCGGCCAACUAAGUCAGACGUGAAAUCCCUCGGCUUAACCGGGGAACUGCAUCUGAUACUGGAUGGCUUGAGUUCGGGAGAGGGAUGCGGAAUUCCAGGUGUAGCGGUGAAAUGCGUAGAUAUCUGGAGGAACACCGGUGGCGAAGGCGGCAUCCUGGACCGGUAUUGACGCUGAGGUGCGAAAGCGUGGGGAGCGAACAGG
rnacentral:rRNA from 1 species